GGCCACUCUAGCCAGAAUGGAGGUCGUCAGCUCUCUGGCUUUUCCUUAUCGUUCUUAGUGUUCUUCAAAACAGAGGGACCUACCCUUCAUACUGUCCAGGCUGUUGCUACGUUGCCCAGGCUGGUCUUGGCCUCAAGUGAUCCCCCUGCCUCAGCCUCCUGAGUAGCUGGAACUACAGGCAUGAGCCAUUGUGAUGGGCCAUCAGGAAGAGAUGUGAAAAGCUUCUGCACUGAAGCCAGGCAUGGAGGCACAUGCUUGUAGUCCCAGCACUCUGGGAGGCUGAGGCAGGAGGAUGGUAAGUUUGAGCCCAGCCUGGGCAACUUAGCAACUUAGCGAGACCUUGUCUCCUAAAGAAAAGAAAGGCUUCUGCACUGGGUGGUGUGCAUCUCCCAACCACAUUUGUGUAUGUUAGAGCAGCCAAGUGUAAAAAUUAUAGGGCAGGGGACAUUAUUGUCUUACAGGAAAGGAGAAGGAAAUAAGUUUGUGGAAUAA